GAUGGAUGCUACCACCCCUAAAUACUCCAAGGGUAGGUACGAGGAAAUCGUGAAGGAAGUGUCUUCAUACUUGAAGAAGGUCGGAUACAACCCAGACAAAAUCCCAUUCGUUCCAAUCUCUGGAUUCGAAGGUGACAACAUGAUUGAGAGGUCAACCAACCUUGACUGGUACAAGGGACCAACCCUUCUUGAAGCUCUUGACCAGAUCAACGAGCCAAAGAGACCCACAGACAAGCCACUCCGUCUACCACUUCAGGAUGUUUACAAGAUCGGUGGUAUUGGAACUGUGCCAGUGGGACGUGUUGAGACAGGUAUCAUCAAGCCUGGUAUGGUUGUGACCUUCGGACCAACAGGGUUGACCACUGAAGUCAAGUCUGUUGAGAUGCAUCAUGAAGCUUUGACCGAAGCUCUUCCUGGUGACAAUGUUGGGUUCAAUGUUAAGAAUGUUGCUGUGAAGGAUAUCAAGCGUGGGUAUGUUGCCUCAAACUCCAAGGAUGAUCCUGCUAAGGGUGCUGCCAGUUUCACUUCCCAGGUUAUCAUCAUGAACCACCCUGGUCAGAUCGGAAAUGGUUAUGCUCCAGUGUUGGAUUGCCACACUUCUCACAUUGCUGUUAAGUUCCAAGAGCUGUUGACCAAGAUUGACAGACGAUCAGGAAAGGAGCUUGAGAAGGAGCCCAAGUUUUUGAAGAAUGGUGAUGCAGGUAUGGUUAAGAUGAUGCCGACCAAGCCUAUGGUGGUGGAGACUUUCGCAGAGUACCCACCUCUUGGAAGGUUUGCUGUGAGGGACAUGCGUCAGACUGUUGCUGUUGGUGUGAUCAAGAGUGUUGACAAGAAGGACCCGACUGGAGCUAAGGUGACCAAGGCCGCAGCCAAGAAGGGUGUCAAGUGAUAU
rnacentral:lncRNA from 1 species